CAGCAGCCGCGGUAAUACGUAGGUGGCGAGCGUUGUCCGGAAUUACUGGGCGUAAAGGGCGCGUAGGCGGCCUGUCAAGUCAGAUGUGAAAUCCCCGGGCUUAACCCGGGAACUGCAUUUGAAACUGGCGGGCUUGAGGGCAGGAGAGUAAAGCGGAACUCCCAGUGUAGCGGUGAAAUGCGUAGAUAUUGGGAGGAACACCAGUGGCGAAGGCGGCUUUCUGGACUGUCACUGACGCUGAGGCGCGAAAGCCAGGGGAGCGAACGGGAUUAGAUACCCCGGUAGUCCUGGCUGUAAACGAUGGGUACUAGGUGUUGGGGGUAUCGACCCCUCCAGUGCCGCAGUUAACGCAAUAAGUACCCCGCCUGGGGAGUACGGCCGCAAGGUUGAAACUCAAAG
rnacentral:rRNA from 1 species